GACGAACGCUGGCGGCGUGCUUAGCACAUGCAAGUCGAACGGAAAGGCCCUGCUUUUGUGGGGUGCUCGAGUGGCGAACGGGUGAGUAACACGUGAGUAACCUGCCCUUGACUUUGGGAUAACUUCAGGAAACUGGGGCUAAUACCGGAUAGGAGCUCCUGCUGCAUGGUGGGGGUUGGAAAGUUUCGGCGGUUGGGGAUGGACUCGCGGCUUAUCAGCUUGUUGGUGGGGUAGUGGCUUACCAAGGCUUUGACGGGUAGCCGGCCUGAGAGGGUGACCGGCCACAUUGGGACUGAGAUACGGCCCAGACUCCUACGGGAGGCAGCAGUGGGGAAUAUUGCACAAUGGGCGGAAGCCUGAUGCAGCAACGCCGCGUGCGGGAUGACGGCCUUCGAGUUGUAAACCGCUUUCGCCGGUGACGAAGCGUGAGUGACGGUAAUGGGUAAAGAAGCACCGGCUAACUACGUG
rnacentral:rRNA from 1 species